GACGAACGCUGGCGGCGUGCUUAACACAUGCAAGUCGAACGGAAAGGCCCUGCUUUUGUGGGGUGCUCGAGUGGCGAACGGGUGAGUAACACGUGAGUAACCUGCCCUUGACUUUGGGAUAACUUCAGGAAACUGGGGCUAAUACCGGAUAGGAGCUCCUGCUGCAUGAUGGGGGUUGGAAAGUUUCGGCGGUUGGGGAUGGACUCGCGGCUUAUCAGCUUGUUGGUGGGGUAGUGGCUUACCAAGGCUUUGACGGGUAGCCGGCCUGAGAGGGUGACCGGCCACAUUGGGACUGAGAUACGGCCCAGACUCCUACGGGAGGCAGCAGUGGGGAAUAUUGCACAAUGGGCGGAAGCCUGAUGCAGCAACGCCGCGUGCGGGAUGACGGCCUUUGGGUUGUAAACCGCUUUCGCCUGUGACGAAGCGUGAGUGACGGUAAUGGGUAAAGAAGCACCGGCUAACUACGUG
rnacentral:rRNA from 1 species